rnacentral:rRNA from 1 species
GAUGAACGCUGGCGGCGUGCCUAAUACAUGCAAGUCGAGCGAACAGACGAGGAGCUUGCUCCUCUGACGUUAGCGGCGGACGGGUGAGUAACACGUGGAUAACCUACCUAUAAGACUGGGAUAACUUCGGGAAACCGGAGCUAAUACCGGAUAAUAUAUUGAACCGCAUGGUUCAAUAGUGAAAGACGGUUUUGCUGUCACUUAUAGAUGGAUCCGCGCCGCAUUAGCUAGUUGGUAAGGUAACGGCUUACCAAGGCAACGAUGCGUAGCCGACCUGAGAGGGGGGGGCGCCAACAGGGAAAUGGGACACGGGACCGACCCCCGCGGGGGGGAGCAAGUGGGAAUUCUCCGACAAGGGGCAAAACCCGAAGGAGGAAAGCCGGGGGGAGGAUGAAGGGUUUCCGGUGCUAAAAACUGUUUUAUUGGGAAAAAAAAAAUGUGAAAGUAACAAGCCACUUCUGGAGGGUCCCUAAUAGAAAAGCCCGGCCUAACUACGGC